CACUAUGUACUCAAAACAGUCAUUAACAGCUUUAUGCUAAAUUAAAUGAGAGCACACAAUACCACCAAGCUGAUGCUAUAUAGUGCUGAUGGUUGUGGUCCUUGACAGUCUUAGUCACUGAGGUGUUCAGGCCCAAGAGCUCUUCAAUAGCCAAAACCAAAGCAGACUUCCUCUUUCUCCCCCAGCCCUGAACUUGUAUAACAGUUUCUAGAUAAUACCCAGCACUUGGUCUCUGCCUCUGGACCAUCUGCAAGAUAUUUGGGGAAGGGAGGUUACUUUCCCAGGAUCUGGAAGGUUUUCUAUCCUGUUGCUCACUUUUUUUCCUCCCCUUUGCUAACCACCUUCUUCCUUACUUAAAGCAAAAGCAGCCUUUUCCCAGCUCUUGAGGCUGCACUUAGUCAAUAAUCAGUAAUCAACCAUCAAUAAGUUAUUUAUGGCUUUCUCACUGCUUUCAGCCUGUGACCGUAUUUUCAAAGACUUUGCUGGUAUCCUGCCCUUGCAGUGCAUCCUAGCAAGGGGCACCUGGCCCCAAGCUCUGGUUCACAGACAGUUCUCAUAACAAGCUGGUAACUAGUCAGACAGGCCAGGACAAUUGCAAUACUACUUUUACUCAGCCACUGAGUACAAAUAUACUUACAGUCACGCUAUAUUAGUGUGCACAUCUGGGUUCAAAACAGACCAGUAUUGAGGUUUGUUUAGCAUGCUUGCAGCAGAUCUCCACUUUAGCUACUGCGCCACUUGGCUGGGUGCCAAUCACCCUCCUGCAACUCACACCUGGAAGAGCCAUCAACAGUCACACAAGAAGUCACUUCUCCACAAGGACCUUUAAGGAUAGCAUCUCAGACAGAGUUGCAUUGAAGAGCUACCCUGGGACACCCACUGGUGCAUUUCACAGAAGCUUAUCUACAAGUUAAUGCUGACCUGUUGAUCCUGCUGUCUACAUAGCAGCAGUCUGUCCUGAUCCACAGGUCAAACCCCGAACUAAGACAAACUGGUGCAGUUUCAAAGUGAACCUUGGGAUAUGUGAGUGACCUUCUAAAAUAAGCAUUGACAUUUUAACCUUUGGAAACUCCAUUUCUAGGUCCAAGGUUAGUAUUUUUAAACAGGCUAGUUUGAUU
rnacentral:lncRNA from 1 species